rnacentral:misc_RNA from 1 species
UUUCCGUAGGUGAACCUGCGGAAGGAUCAUUACCGAGUUAGGGUUGCCUUCUAGGUGCCCGACCUCCCAACCCUUUGUGAACACAACUUGUUGCUUCGGGGGCGACCCUGCCGUUUCGAUGGCGAGCGCCCCCGGAGGCCUUCAAACACUGCAUUCUCUGCGUCGGAGUAUUAGUAAAUCUAAUCAAAACUUUCAACAACGGAUCUCUUGGUUCUGGCAUCGAUGAAGAACGCAGC